GCACACACCAUGCGUGGCUCAGGGCUGUGGGUCCCAACCCUCCUCUAGGCCAUGAGCUACUUGAGUUUGGUCCACUCCCAGGAUGCCCGCUGCCCCCUGGUAACAGGAUCCAUGACUAGCAUUGCUGUGUUAAAUUAGCCAAAAGGAACCAAAAAUGGGUUCUGAGCACCUACAGAUUUUAUCUAUUUGAGGAGAAAAAAAUGUGUUAUACAAAUCAAUUCAGUCUUUGACAGGUGUAGAAAUUAAAGUCCAGAGAGGUUAAAUGAGUUACCCAAAGGCACACAGCAGAAAAUGGUAGAGUUGGAAUUAGGAGUCUCAUUUCAGACCACAGAAGCCAGUCCACUGUGAGGACAGGGACUAGCACUGACUCACUCUUCGGAAUUCCGGUUCCCUUCACCUUGGUUCAACCACCACACCAGCAAAAAAGCAGUGCCAAAGAAAUAUGAGAGCUUCAGGGUCCAAGAGGUCUGGUGUGCACACUCCCAGGCCCAGGGUCCUGCAGAGGCCCCCCAAAGCCGGGGUGGCCUGCAGGCAGUGAGGAGUGUGCCAGGGGAGAAGCUCCUCCUGGCUUCUGCCCACUCUGUGUGAGGCUGGGGAGGGGGUUACGUAUACGGUCAGGGCCCUUCUUUCUCUGCCUCACUCCAUAACCUGGUUCUUUCUGCACUUCUGCACCGGCCGGGGCCAGGCCACGCCCACAGGCCCGCCAUGACCCUUUUCCACACAGUUGCGAUCUGGUGGGAGUAAUACAACAUCUGUGCACAAGGAAACAGCCCCUGGACGGCCAGGGUCCCAUCACCCCACCAUGGACAUUGGGGCUGGGUAAUUCUUUAUUGUGGGGCCGUCCUGUGCCCUGUAGGAUGUUUAUCAGCAUCCCUGUCCUCCACCCACUAGAUGAGGGAGCUCACACACCCCAAGUGCUAACAAUUGAAUGCGGCUCCAGACAUCCUCAAAUAUCUCCUGGGGAGACAUUUGUGCCCCUGGCUGAGAAGCAGUGGUGUAAGGAAUAUAAAUACUGGCGAAUAAGGCCGAGGAGAGGGAGCACGAUGAGUGUCGCGGGGCAAAGGGGGACAUAAUCUGGCCUUAAGAAUGGCGGGUCCUUGCAGUGUGGCAGAGACAGCGAUGCUCAGCAAAUAUUCCCUCGGCUCCCCUCCCUCUCCCAGCCCCCUGUGCCCAAGAGUGUCGUGUAUAGUUCUGACGACUGAAAUAUGAGCAGCGGAGACAAGUGUGGCUCCUGGGCCCCAGGGGAUGGAAAGCCCGUGCCGGGUUCUCCCGCCUCAGUUUCCCCCGCGAUGGUGCCUAAGAGACCCUGUGCUCCGCAGGAAAACCAGAUCCCCCCGGAACCGCGAGGAGCAAAAUGCCCUCAAACGCGCGCAGAGCAAGGGAUGGGCGUCUGCGGGGUGAGCGCCGUCUGGGACCGGGCUAGAGGCUGGCCUGUCGUGACCAGUGGAAAUGGGCAGAUGGGAGAAGGGACGCAUUGCUGAUGGCGGUGGGGGAAGCCUGAAGGACGACCUGGAGGAGGCGAAGCCCAGCUGUUGACAGCGGCUGUGCUGGAACAGCCGCGCUGUGCACAGAAGGGGGACGAAGUGUGCAGCGGGCAGGUCGCCGCCUGAUCACGGAGGCCGAGAGGCGCGCGGGAGCCAGGGCGACGGGGUGGCCGCAGGACAGAUUAGGAAAGUGGUCUUUAAGAAUUCAUGGGUUUGGGGGCUGGCCCCGCGGCCGAGUGGUUGGGUUCGCGCGCUCCGCUGCAGGCGGCCCAGUGUUUCGUUGGUUCGAAUCCUGGGCGCGGACAUGGCACUGCUCAUCAGACCACGCUGAGGCGGCGUCCCACAUGCCACAACUAGAGGAACCUACAACGAAGAAUACACAACUAUGUACCGGGGGGCUUUGCGGAGAAAAAGGAAAAUAAAAUAAAAUAAAAUAAAAAGAAUUCAUGGGUUUGUUAAGUAAAAGAAACCAGGCCGUAGAGAGUGCAUGCUGAAUGAUGGCAUUUUUAUAAAGUACCAAACAGUCACACAUCCCUCUCGCCCUAGAAUUCGA
rnacentral:lncRNA from 1 species